AAUUUCCACUGAUUAUUGCUUCCUCCUGAUUUAUGAGUAUUCGCAUAUUUGUAGACUAAAUUUGCUAGGAUUUGAAGGGCUGGCCAAUUUCCAUGGUGGUUUUAUAACUAUAUUCUAGGAUUCAUCAGAAGUGUGUAAGGGCUGGGUAUUUGAAUUGGUUGCAUCAGUUACAUGGCUGUUUAGCCUUAUGUCUUUUGUUGAUCAUCAGACUUGUGAUUUAAAUAUGAAGGGUUUCCAGAAACACGAGGCAGCAGCAUGCUCUCAUCAUAUGAGGUGCAUUUCCAAGUUCCAGCAAUCUGAAUCUUCAUAGUCAUGGAAGGCAGUUGUGGAGAUACUGUACUCCUUGAUUCUUCCCUGUUCUGGUCACUUUCCAUUUACUAUACUGUUGGGAUUCUUUUUAAUUCUUCAUUUUCUCUUUCAA